UACGGGGGGGGCAAGCGUUGUUCGGAAUUACUGGGCGUAAGGGGCGCGUAGGCGGUUUGCUAAGUCGGAUGUGAAAACUCUGGGCUCAACCCAGAGCCUGCAUCCGAAACUGGCAGGCUAGAGUUCUGGAGGGGGUAGCGGAAUUCCUGGUGUAGCGGUGAAAUGCGUAGAUAUCAGGAGGAACACCGGUGGCGAAGGCGGGUCUCUGGGCCGAUACUGACGCUGAGGAGCGAAAGCGUGGGGAGCAAACAGG
rnacentral:rRNA from 1 species